UGGGGAAUUUUGGACAAUGGGCGAAAGCCUGAUCCAGCAAUGCCGCGUGUGUGAAGAGGGCCUUCGGGUUGUAAAGCACUUUUGUCCGGAAAGAAAUCCUUGGCUCUAAUACAGUCGGGGGAUGACGGUACCGGAAGAAUAAGCACCGGCUAACUACGUGCCAGCAGCCGCGGUAAUACGUAGGGUGCAAGCGUUAAUCGGAAUUACUGGGCGUAAAGCGUGCGCAGGCGGUUUGCUAAGACCGAUGUGAAAUCCCCGGGCUCAACCUGGGAACUGCAUUGGUGACUGGCAGGCUAGAGUAUGGCAGAGGGGGGUAGAAUUCCACGUGUAGCAGUGAAAUGCGUAGAGAUGUGGAGGAAUACCGAUGGCGAAGGCAGCCCCCUGGGCCAAUACUGACGCUCAUGCACGAAAGCGUGGGGAGCAAACAGGAUUAGAUACCCUGGUAGUCCACGCCCUAAACGAUGUCAACUAGUUGUUGGGGAUUCAUUUCCUUAGUAACGUAGCUAACGCGUGAAGUUGACCGCCUGGGGAGUACGGUCGCAAGAUUAAAACUCAAAUGAAUUGACGGGGU
rnacentral:rRNA from 1 species